CUUUAAAAACCAAACCGGAGUAUGCGUUCGCACAACUUCGGCCAAACUUUCUCAAUAAUAAUAAAACGUUAUUAAUUGUGGACACGUUCACGUGACAUGAUUUCUGACGUGCCAAGCAAAUGGGUACACGUGCGUGUGAUCCAUUUCAAGUUAAUUUCUUAAUUAAAAAGGAGCAAAAGCACAUAGGUUCUCAAAUCCGUAAUUAAAUAAUUUAGUAAGAAAAGUAUGAUCCAAGCGACCGUGCUAGAACCACGAAAUCUGGGAAUGCCUAACACCUUCUCCCGGGUUAACAAAAUUCCUUAACCGAAUUUCUGUGUUCGCAGACUGUAAAUAGAGUCAAUCUUUCCUCGAUUCGGGAUUUAAACCAGUGACUUGGGACACCAUAAAUCAUCCCAAACGGCGACUCUGAAUUUUUAAUAAAUAAUCC
rnacentral:lncRNA from 1 species